AAUCAACGCUGGCGGCGUGCCUCAGACAUGCAAGUCGAACGCGAAAUUUCCCUUCGGGGAGAAAGUAGAGUGGCGCACGGGUGAGUAACACGUGGGUAAUUUACCUUCGGGUGGGAAUAACAGUCGGAAACGACUGCUAAUACCGCAUGAUGCAGCGGCACCACAUGGUGACAGUUGCUAAAGCGGGGGAUCGCAAGACCUCGCGCCUGAAGAGAAGCCCGCGGCAGAUUAGCUAGUUGGUAAGGUAAUGGCUUACCAAGGCAACGAUCUGUAGCCGGCCUGAGAGGGCGGUCGGGCCACACUGACACUGAAUAACGGGUCAGACUCCUACGGGAGGCAGCAGUCGGGAAUUUUGGGCAAUGGGCGCAAGCCUCGACCCAGCAACGCCGCGUGAAGGAUGAAGUAUUUCGGUAUGUAAACUUCAC
rnacentral:rRNA from 1 species